AGAGUUUGAUCAUGGCUCAGAACGAACGCUGGCGGCGUGCUUAACACAUGCAAGUCGAGUGCGCGUGCCGUAGCAAUACGGUAUGGCGCACGGCGCACGGGUGCGUAACACGUGGGUAACCUGCCCUUUGGUGGGGAAUAACUCCGCGAAAGCGGAGCUAAUUCCGCAUAAGAUCCGCAAGGAUGAAAGCCGCAAGGCGCCGAAGGAGGGGCCCGCGCCCGAUUAGCUUGUUGGUAGGGUAACGGCCUACCAAGGCUAUGAUCGGUAGCUGGUCUGAGAGGAUGGCCAGCCACACUGGAACUGAGACACGGUCCAGACUCCUACGGGAGGCAGCAGUGGGGAAUCUUGCGCAAUGGGCGAAAGCCUGACGCAGCGACGCCGCGUGGGGGAUGAAGCUUUUCGGAGUGUAAACCCCUUUCGAUCCGGACGAAUGCCCGCAAGGGAGUGACGGUACGGAUAUAAGAAGCCCCGGCUAACUACGUGCCAGCAGCCGCGGUAAGACGUAGGGGGCCAGCGUUGUUCGGAAUUACUGGGUGUAAAGGGUCAGUAGGCGGUGUGGCAAGUCGGGAGUGAAAUCUAUGGGCUCAACCCAUAGGCUGCUUCCGAAACUGCUGUGCUUGAGUGUGGGAGAGGCGCGUGGAAUUGCAGGUGUAGCGGUGAAAUGCGUAGAUAUCUGCAGGAACACCCGUGGCGAAAGCGGCGCGCUGGACCACAACUGACGCUGAAUGACGAAAGCUAGGGGAGCAAACAGGAUUAGAUACCCCCGUAGUCC
rnacentral:rRNA from 1 species